GCAUAUCAAUCCAUCGUAAAAACGCACAUAUAUCGACACAAUUAUUGGGUGCUGAACGUGAAAACGGCCAGUCGGUAAUUGGGAUAUAUGGAGGCCUAACC
rnacentral:sRNA from 1 species